CACGCGAUGAGGAUCUUGCCGGUGUAGCAGCACACAACGGCGGCGAAGAUGAUGAGAAACAACCCCAGCAACAAAUGAGGAAGCAGAGUGAGGUUUGCAGAUAUACGUAAAAGAUCAGAAAAAAAGGCAAGAACAAGAACCAGUUGAGAGACAGACAUGAGAGAAAGAAAACAGGAGGGUAUGAGAGAGUUUGAACAAGACAGAAAAACAAGUCAGCACCACGGACAGCGUCCUGUGAGGCCUUUC
rnacentral:lncRNA from 1 species